UGGCAGAAAUAUAGAGCAAUAUGUUAGCUUUUAUUUGUCAAAGUUAGAAAUCAAGUUUGGAAUAAAAUUUACUUAAAUGUUGUAUUUUUGAAAAAUCCGUUUGAAAUACGUAAUUUGAACGUGUGGUUUGGAAUGCCAUCAAUAGAUGCCGGCACAAGUUUAAAAAUUUCCUAUUUCUGUAAAAAUUCACAAAAUAAUUAAUUUUUAUACCAGUUACAAAUCAUUUUUUCCCUAAAUUAUAUUUAAAACCAUUUGAUAUAUUAUUUUACACACAGGUUUCGUUAAGCAGUGUCAGGGUUGUAAAAACAGCUGCAUCUGUCAGCUGAAGGAUGUUUGCUGUAACCCUAUUGUUCGUUUGUUUGCAUUUAUGUGUAUUGCGAUAAGUUAGCGUUUCUGAAAAAGCAGAUGGGAUUGAGAGGUUGAAAAUUGUUCGUGCAUCUGUAUCUGCAUAAAAGGAGAUCGAUUGCCGAAAUGAUUUUUUUACAAAGUUUAAAUUUUAUGCAUGAUUUUUCCUUCAUCGAGACUCCUCUGGAACUAAGGAAGAGGAACUUGACUCUAUAUUUCUUAUAGAACUUCUGUGAAUUUUUUUAGCAUGUAACAGAUGUAACAGAAAUUUCUGUUUAUAUAUAUAUAUGUGUGUGUGUGUAUGUAAAAGAAAAUGUAUGAGAAAUAUAAAAGAUGUAUAUUCGUAUAGGUUUGCAUAAACAUAAUAAAAAAUUCUUU